UAAGGUCAGAAGGGACUAUUCUGAUCAUCUAGUCCCGACCUCCUACACAGCGCAGGCCACAGAAUCUCACCCACCCACUCCUACAGAAAUGCUGCCAGCUGCGCCCUUAUAGAGCUAAUAGCCAAACUCUGUUUUAAAAGACAAUCCAGCUAAAGGUCCUCAAGAGACACCUUUCCUGCAAGACCAAAUGGAGAAGUGCUUCCACUUAGCCAGGUAAGUGUUUCUAGUUGUGUGUGUUCUGCUAUUUAGAAGCAUUUUCUGAACAUCCUUCAAGCGGGACCUUUCAAAGGGUCUCAGCCAUGAAGUAUUCACUCCAUCAGAUGGACAGCUCAGAGACUAGGAUGGAGCAAGCACCUGUAGUCCUGGAAAAUUACAUCUGGAUCCAACUGGAGACACAGAGGAGGCUCGACCAACAAGAAUAGUAGGGUCGAGUACCAGUGUUGACGAGGCCAUGUCAGUGCUAGGAGGAUGAGGAUACCCAGUGCACUGAAUGUGGACAGGUUACUGGAUACGCUGGAUAGGAUUUGAGCCUUAGACCAACCUCUGACUAAGCAGUCAUCUAGGUAUGGGAAUGUGUGGACACCUAAUUUUCAUAAGUGAGCUGCCACAACUGCCCUGCACCUUGUGAACACUCGAGGAGCAGCUAACAGACCAAAGAGAAGCACGGUAAAGUGAUAAUGGCAACCAUUCACCGCAAAUCUGAGAAACUUUGCACAGUCGUGGCAUAUUGCAACAUGCAGUUAAGCAUCCUUUAAACUGAGGGCAGAGGACCAGUCUUUUAAAUGUAAAUUAGGCAUGAGAUUGUUUUGGGGAUCAGGAAGUAGCAGGAAAAGAAGCCAUUUUCCCUGGGAUAUAACGGGACUUCCUCUAUGGCCUGAAUACAUGUUGAAGGGCAAUCUCAUGAGAAUGGUCCCUGAAGAGGGAUGGAGAAAGGGCUUGGGGUGGGGUAGAAAUGAACUGGAUGGCAUACGUCAGUUUCAUCAUGCUUAAGAUUCACUGGUCUGAUGCUAUGUGGGCCCAAGCAUUUAGACAGUGGGAUAAGAAAUUGAUAAACAACGGGGAACAAAUGGAGCCACAGUGACUAGUACGCUGUUCUUAACAAACCCAUCAAAAUGCCUGUUUGGACAAGGCGGCUGGAUGGGAUGAGCUCACUGAUGCUGAAGAGGAGGGUGGUGGACGGCACCUCCUAUAAUCUCUGCCCUUUUUCCUGAGUGGAUCUUGGGAUCGAGGCGCAUACUCGUAUUUGUAUGGCUGCUGUGGAUGAUACUGUUUUUUUUAUGCUAGGGUAUAGAUCUGAAGGGAUUUGAGUGUUGCCUAGAAUCCUUAAGGCUAUGAAGCCUGUCGUCCAUUUUAUCUGAAAACAGUGAGGGACCUUCAAAAAGAAGGUCCUGGAUAGUCUGUUAGACCUCUAGAGGUAGACCAGACGACUGCAGCCACGAACCCCUUAUAGUAAUAGCUUUUGCCAUGGUUUGAGCAACCAAGUCUGCACUAUCCAAACCCCCCCUGGAGGGAAGUCCUCUUACCUUCAUCCACCAUUACUGCAAAUUCUUGUCUACAGUCCUCUGGUAGAUUGUUUUUAAAUUUUAUAAUGUUCUCCUAGAGGGUGAAGUCAUAUCGACUCACAAGGGUGUGUUGGUUGCAGUCCUGAUUUGCAGGCUUCCUGAAGAAGAAAGCUUGCAACCAAACAGAUCCAGCCUCUUUGAGUCUUUGCUUUUCAGCAUGGAAGUUUAUUGCCUCUGUCUUUCCUGAUCAUUGGCAGCUGCCAUCAGAAGAGAGCCAGGGGGCAGGGCAGGGUGGAGUAAGAAUAAAAAUGUUCAAAUGCCCUUGAGAAGAUGAAGUACCUCCUUUCAGCUCAUUUUGCUUUGGGGGGAAGGGAGAAGGGUGUCGGUCAAAAAGCCUUGACUGGUUUCAUGAUGGCUUCAUUAAUUGGUAGAGCAACACUGACUGGGGUUGCCGAUACUAGGAUGUCCACCAACUUGUGAGAGCUUUCACGCACCUCUUCUGCCUGAAUGUCAAGUCUAGAGCCACUCUUUUAAAAAGAUCUCGAUGAGCAGUGUGGGCCUCUGGUGGUGAUGAGACACAUGGACGACUCAACAGCCUCAGCUGGUGAUGAGGAUGCAACAUGCAUCUGAGGUGUUGGUUGGUCUGUGGCUUGUGGCAGGGAAGGUGCCUGAGUGGCUUCUGGCUGCUUGGUACUAGUCGUGAUACUGGGUACCAGGGAAUGAUGCUUUUUGGUAACAAUGCCUGUGGUGAACUCUUAGUGAGCGAGAUGGUUGAGGGGAGCUCCUAGCUGGAGGGGAACACCCCAUGGCAUCCAGACUGGCUACUGAUAUGGGCCAGGGACCAAUCCUUGGCCAGCUUGUUGAUCCUUAGACGAGGCCCAAUGCUGGGGAUACUGUAUGACUCAUGGUCCAGUGACUUAUGUUCCCUAUCCUGGGUGGGAGACAGAGCAUCACACCUCUGAGUCUGAGGAAGGAGAGUCAGAUGCUUCUGCCAUUGGAGGGGCAGAUCCAGCUGGGACCAGGGAGAGGUAACCUGAGCCUGGAGAUGGCAGUACCAGGGAAAUCAUGGGAGGCUUUCCUCUUGUCAACAUGGGCUUUUGGAAAGGCAUGGGUUGUGGCACUGUAGGACCUCGAUAUGGUGAGGUAUGAGCAAUGGACAUCAGUACCAGCUGCACACCUUCCACUGUCAGCAAUAUUAGUACCAAGGGACUAAAUAAGACUCAAGCAGCUGUAUACACCUCCAGGAGGGUUGGGAUCAGCACUGUCUGCUGGCCAAGUGUCAUUCAGUGCACAGCCUUGUCAGACCUGGUACCGGCUCUGGAGGCUGUUAUCCCCUCCUGGGAGAUGGCGAGCGUUCUGGAAGGGAUGUCUCUCUUGUCCAAAUGCUUUAAGUCUCUGCCUUUGUCUGGCUUUGGUACCAAUGCAGUCAAGAGCAUAGGUGCUGACUCCAUAGGUGCUCCGGGGCUGGAGCACCCACGGGGAAAAAUUAGUGGGUAUUCUACACCCACUGGCAGCCAAGCUCCCCUCCCUCGAGCGCGCCAAGUCCCUGUUCCUCCACCUACCUCCCAGCACUUCCCCCUGGCCGCCACCAAACAGCGUGUGAUAUUUUAGUCUUCCAUGGAUGUUUCAGUGAGGUAGUAACAAUGCAAUAAUUGUGAAAGAAGCAAAAUGCAAACUUCAAGAAUUCUUUAUAGAAGUCACUGUAUUGUAGUAAGUGCAAUAAAAACAGACAAUGAAUCAGUACAAUUAAGAUACUUGUGCUGAGUUUGUCUUUUCAAAAUUAAUAAGUUAAAAUACAAAAGCUAUAUGUUCAAACAAAUUACAUUAGGAAAUCAGUAUACAUGUAAAUCCUAAAACUAAGUAACAGGAGGAUGUAACAAUAAGCAGUACAGUUUCUUAAAGAAUUUAGCCUUCCACAGUGUUAGAACUUCUUGAGUUUUUUUUAUCACAGACAAACUUCGUAAAAUUGUAAUGAUGCUUCUCUUUUUU